CGGGUGCACUGAUCCAGCCGGGCCUUUCCCUCUGUGGAACCCCAUGGCCUUCACUGGCUGUGGUGGGGAAACAGGACUUUUACUUUGAAAAAAUUAGAGUGCUCCAGGCAGGCCUAUGCUCGAAUACAUUAGCAUGGAAUAAUAGAAUAGGACGUGUGGUUCUAUUUUGUUGGUUUCUAGGACCGCCGUAAUGAUUAAUAGGGACAGUCGGGAGCAUCAGUAUUCAAUUGUCAGAGGUGAAAUUCUUGGAUCUAUUGAAGACUAACUACUGCGAAAGCAUUUGCCAAGGAUGUUUUCAUUGAUAAGGAACGAAAGUUAGGGGAUCGAAGACGAUCAGAUACCGUCGUAGUCUUAACUAUAAACUAUGCCGACUAGGGAUCGGACGAUGUUAUUCUUUGACGCGUUCGGCACCUUUCGAGAAAUCAAAGUGCUUGGGCUCCAGGGGGAGUAUGGUCGCAAGGCUGAAACUUAAAGAAAUUGACGGAAGGGCACCACCAGGGGUGGAACCUGCGGCUUAAUUUGACUCAACACGGGGAAACUCACCAGGUCCAGACACAGUGAGGAUUGACAGAUUGAGAGCUCUUUCUUGAUUCUGUGGGUGGUGGUGCAUGGCCGUUCUUAGUUGGUGGAGUGAUUUGUCUGCUUAAUUGCGAUAACGAACGAGACCUUAACCUGCUAAAUAGCCCGUACUGCUUUGGCAGUUCGCCGGCUUCUUAGAGGGACUAUCGG
rnacentral:rRNA from 1 species